GGGGCAGCUUCCGGUGGGGGGGAAUGGAAUGGAAUGGUCUCCGAUUGAACAACAAAAAAAGAAAAGCCACCUUUUCGUUUCACGAAGGAAGCGGGAAGGAGGUGACUCCCGAAAGCGGCGAAGGGGGAGAUGGAAACCGGGGAGGCGAAGAACCGCAAGAGCAGACUGAAGUGAGAACUGCAGAUGCUGGAGAUUAGAGUCGAGAGGUGGUGCUGGAAAAGCACAGCAAGUCAGGCAGCAUCCGAGGAGCAGGAGAAUCGAGGUUUCGGCCAAAAGCCCUUCGUCAGGAGUGAGUCGGCCAUUCAGCCCCUCAAGCUUGCUCUGUCCCACGAUGAAAUCAUGGCCCGUCUGUCGUAGCCUCGACGCCCACUUUCCUGGGAGCGAACCCAAAGACAGCCCUUUAGAUUCCCUGAAAACUGCAGCAAAGGCUUUUGUCGGUAUCCAAUUCCUGAAGCCUGUGGUGAAUUGGCCUUCAUUUGACCCAGGCUUGGGGCUAGCAUGUAAUUUCACUGAAGGAGAUGGUGCAUGUGGACAGUUUUAAAAACAGGAUUCUAAUUAUGCUCAAUCUGUGAAUAAAUACUCCCCUAUCUUCCUGCA